GCCCCGGGGCUCGUGAUAUCUCAUCUCGCCGCCCGUCGCGAGGCGGACGGAGGGAUGGAUGAGGUUACCUGGAAAAAUCGGGGCGAUCUAGGCGGGCGAACCUCGCCAACGAACGAUCGGACAUGGGAUAACGGAAGAGGGCGUCGGCUCGACUUCGUCGGUUCCUCGGGCCGAGGCACGUACGGUGAAUAGGGACGGUCGGGGCCGCCCGUACCGGGUCGUGAGAGGUGAAAUUCUAGGAUCGACCCGAGACGAACCGCCGCGAAAGCAUUCGGCAAGGACGCUUUCAUUAAUCAAGAACGAAAGUCGGGGGAUCGAAGACGAUCAGAUACCGUCGUAGUCCCGACCGUAAACGAUGCCGACCGAGGGCCCGGAGGAGUUACGUACGACCCUCCGGGCCCUCCCGCGAGAAAUCAGGAGUAUUCGGGUUCCGGGGGGAGUAUGGUCGCAAGGCCGAACUUAAAGGAAUUGACGGAAG
rnacentral:rRNA from 1 species